rnacentral:lncRNA from 1 species
CUAAGAGGUGAAAAUGGAGCUCCAGGACUCCCAGGAACUAAGGGUGAAAACGGUGUCCCAGGUGAACGAGGUGCACAAGGUCCUCCAGGUGCGCAAGGACCUAGAGGAGGAGUCGGCCCUGCUGGUCCAGAAGGUGGAAAGGUACGUCAACAUGACUGAGAUUUAUGCAUAUCUGAAACUGAAUUCCUGGUCUUUCUCUUCUGUUGGCAUGAUGUAUCUUCUCAAAACUUCUUCUAGGGCCCUGCUGGUCCUCCAGGACCUCCUGGGGGCAUGGGACCACCAGGUUUGCAAGGAAUGCCUGGAGAGAGAGGAGGACCUGGAGGCCCUGGAAUCAAGGGAGACAAGGGAGAACCGGGUGGCAGAGGUGCAGAUGGCUUACCUGGCAAAGAUGGACUAC